UACGUAGGGGGCUAGCGUUGUCCGGAAUCAUUGGGCGUAAAGAGCGCGUAGGCGGCUAGAUAAGUCCGGUGUGAAAGUCACAGGCUCAACCUGUGAAUGCCGCUGGAAACUGUCUGGCUAGAGUCCGGAAGGGCGAGUGGAAUUCCUGGUGUAGCGGUGAAAUGCGCAGAUAUCAGGAGGAACACCAAUGGCGAAGGCAGCUCGCUGGGACGGUACUGACGCUGGAGGCGCGAAAGCGUGGGGAGCAAACAGG
rnacentral:rRNA from 1 species